rnacentral:rRNA from 1 species
GUCGGCGGGGUAACGGCCCACCAAGACGACGAUGGAUAGGGGUUCUGAGAGGAAGGUCCCCCACAUUGGAACUGAGACACGGUCCAAACUCCUACGGGAGGCAGCAG